rnacentral:tRNA from 2 species
AGAAACAUGUCUGAUAAUAGAAUUACUUUGAUAGAGUAAAAAAUAGAGGUGUAAGCCCUCUUGUUUCUA